AUCGAACGAAGAGUUUGAUCCUGGCUCAGGAUGAACGCUGACAGAAUGCUUAACACAUGCAAGUCGACUCGAGUCUUCGGACUUGGGUGGCGCACGGGUGAGUAACGCGUAAAGAACUUGCCUCUUAGACCGGGACAACAUCUGGAAACGGAUGCUAAUACCGGAUAUUAUGGUUUUUUCGCAUGGAGGAAUCAUGAAAGCUAGAUGCGCUAAGAGAGAGCUUUGCGUCCCAUUAGCUAG
rnacentral:rRNA from 1 species